CCCUUAGAUGUUCUGGGCUGCACGCGCGCUACACUGAUGCGAUCAACAAGUUUUUCCUAUGUCGAUAGACACGGGUAAUCUUUUGAACUCGCAUCGUGAUGGGGAUAGAUUAUUGUAAUUAUUAAUCUUCAACGAGGAAUUCCUAGUAGGUGCAAAUCAUCAGUUUGCAUCGAUUACGUCCCUGCCCUUUGUACACACCGCCCGUCGCUGCUACCGAUUGGUUGAUCUGGUGAAUUAUUCGGACUGCCGGCUGAAGGGGUUUCCUCAUCUGCCAGCGGUAAGUCUUGUUAACCCUAUCAACUAGAGGAAGCAGAAGUCGUAACA
rnacentral:rRNA from 1 species